AUGGGCAGGUUGAAGGUUGGGUAACACUAACUGGAGGACCGAACCGACUAAUGUUGAAAAAUUAGCGGAUGACCUGUGGCUGGGGGUGAAAGGCCAAUCAAACCGGGAGAUAGCUGGUUCUCCCCGAAAGCUAUUUAGGUAGCGCCUCGUGAAUUCAUCUCCGGGGGUAGAGCACUGUUUCGGCUAGGGGGCCAUCCCGGCUUACCAACCCGAUGCAAACUGCGAAUACCGGAGAAUGUUAUCACGGGAGACACACGGCGGGUGCUAACGUCCGUCGUGAAGAGGGAAACAACCCAGACCGCCAGCUAAGGUCCCAAAGUCAUGGUUAAGUGGGAAACGAUGUGGGAAGGCCCAGACAGCCAGGAUGUUGGCUUAGAAGCAGCCAUCAUUUAAAGAAAGCGUAAUAGCUCACUGGUCGAGUCGGCCUGCGCGGAAGAUGUAACGGGGCUAAACCAU
rnacentral:rRNA from 1 species